rnacentral:piRNA from 1 species
UGUGUGCUGUGGAUGGAGACGGAAUGGAGU